rnacentral:tRNA from 1 species
UCCCUGGUGGUCUAGUGGCUAGGAUCUGGUGCUUUUACCACCGUGACUCGGGUUCAAUUCCCGGUCAAGGAA